CAAAAAGUAGAUAAUCACUUAUAAACAAUGCUUCGGUUUUAACAAUUAUAUAGUAUGCAUACGUUUUCUUUCUAUUUGUAAAAAGUCUAUGCUUUGUGUUUGCCUGCAUUUUAACAUGGUUCAAAAAUCCAUGCUUGACUCAAGAAAUACAUAUCCCACUUACAAGAUCCUCCAAUCAUGAUUCGUUUUGAAUAUACCGGAUCUUCCAUGAUCUCACCGGAUCUUCCUACGAAUUUGAUUUAGCACUUCAAAACAACAUGGAAGAUCAGGGUCAGUAAGUUUUACUAUCUUUCUUUAUAAUUAAUUGAAAUUUUCUUAUUUAAACAUCUACUAACAGUAUACUAUAUUCAUGUAAGGGCACUCUCAUUCAUGCAACUAUCAAGAAUCUGAAUUGAACAAGUUUCAGAUCAAUCCUAGAAAACACGAUGUUCUAUUUAGAUGUUAAAUUAUGUAUUAUUGUCUGAGAUUUUUCAAAAACAGGUUGAUAACAGAUUUAAGAAGGAAAAUCUGAAGAAUAAGACAAUAUAUGUUGAAAGUGUUCCAGAACC